rnacentral:miRNA from 1 species
AGCCUUGGGAUGCUGAUUAUC